CCUACGAGGGGCUGCAGUGAGGAAUAUUGGUCAAUGGGCUUACGCCUGAACCAGCCAAGUCGCGUGAGGGAAGACUGCCCUAUGGGUUGUAAACCUCUUUUGUCAGGGCGCAAUUGGCGCUACGUGUAGCGUUAUCGAGAGUACCUGAAGAAAAAGCAUCGGCUAACUCCGUGCCAGCAGCCGCGGUAAUACGGAGGAUGCGAGCGUUCUCCGGAUUUAUUGGGUUUAAAGGGUGCGUAGGCGGAAUGCCAAGUCAGCGGUAAAAUCGCGGGGCUCAACCUCGCUCCGCCGUUUAAACUGGCGUUGUUGAGUGGGCGAGAAGUAUGCGGAAUGCGUGGUGUAGCGGUGAAGUGCAUAGAUAUCACGAAGAGCUCCGGUUGCGAAGGCAGCUUACUAGACUGCCACUGAGAUUGAUGCUCGAGAGUGUGGGUAUCAAACAGGAUUAGAUACCCUGGUAGUC
rnacentral:rRNA from 1 species